AAGCUCUUCGGCAAAAAGUGUUGGUUUUGAGGAUUGGGAAAGGUUGGGAGAAAGUGCUACAAGUUCAAGGCGGCGA
rnacentral:tRNA from 1 species